UUGUCUAUUGUCAAGCCCUCAUUUAAAUCUGGGAUGAUCUGAACCGUUGGAUGCAACUAAGGAAUAGAAAAGACCUAGGUUUCACUUUGGCACCCACCUUUCUCCCGAAUCUCUCCUACCGAAUCCCUCUCAUGCAUAGUCUUCUCCUCCCGAAUCCCUCUCACGCGUACAUACUGGUCUCCUCAUCUCAUCUCAUGCCCUCUCCAUCCAACCCCUCUCUGUCGAACCCUCUUCAUGAACCUCUCCUCUGAACCCCUCUCCAUCUAACGAUACUCUGCUGAAUCCCUCUCCCGUUGAACAUAAAAUCAACUUCCGGAUUCAGGAGCCAUCAUCUCUUCAUGCUUCAAAUUUCUCCCAAUCAAGAGAAGUGCUACAGCCAGCUUCAUCAAUCCACAGCCUCUUCGUUGGUAGAUCUCUUGCUAGAGAAGCUUCAUCCGGCCAUCCCACACAGCUUCUUCGUCAGGAGCACAUCUCAACCCACUCCAUCCGGAUCACACUCGCAUUCCCUCUCUGAUCAGCUCUCAUCUGUAGCUCUUCUUCUGAGAAUCGGACAACAACCGUCUCUCCUUUCAAGCCUUCCAAGCUCCUCAGAUCAAUUCCAUCUGAAGCUUCCAACAAUAACCUUCAAGAUCCGGAUAACAUUGAUUUUGAAGAUACCAAAAGUAUGAGACACUCGAAUGCAGACAAAUGACAAUUAGGCUCAAUCUAUCAAUCGUUGCCAACCCAUGGCGAUUAUGAUCAACUGUUCUUCAUGAGUUGUUCUAUCAUUCAUUUUUUUUGCAAUCUUACUGAUAUGUUUGUUCUGUAAUCUCACAGGAGCAGCAACUACAUGUUAUGUGACACUGUAUCCGAACCUCAGGGAUGUGGCUGGGAAGUACUUCGACGAAGAACUAUCAAAAAGGCUUUGGGAUUUAAACGAGAAGAUGUUAAAGGCAAUGAGUAAAAAACAUUCAAGUUAAGAGGAUAAGUAGCAUCUAUCAAGACCCUUUAAGUUCAUGCAACAAGAUGUAGUCGAUAGGAGUAGUUUUGAGUAUCUCCUAAUUAAAAUUUCUUUGUAUCUGAGUAAUUAUAUUUGUUAUAGAAGUGUAAGGAUGAUAAUUUGUAUAUUAAUCUUGGUUGUUUAUUUAAUAAUAUGUCAUUGAUUGAA